rnacentral:rRNA from 1 species
AGUGGCGAACGGGUGAGUAAUGCCUAGGAAUCUGCCAUUUAGUGGGGGAUAACGUUCCGAAAGGAACGCUAAUACCGCAUACGUCCUACGGGAGAAAGAGGGGGAUCUUCGGACCUCUUGCUAAAUGAUGAGCCUAGGUCAGAUUAGCUAGUUGGUGAGGUAAAGGCUCACCAAGGCGACGAUCUGUAGCGGGUCUGAGAGGAUGAUCCGCCACACUGGAACUGAGACACGGUCCAGACUCCUACGGGAGGCAGCAGUGGGGAAUAUUGGACAAUGGGCGCAAGCCUGAUCCAGCCAUGCCGCGUGUGUGAAGAAGGCCUUUUGGUUGUAAAGCACUUUAAGCGAGGAGGAGGGUACUCUAGUUAAUACCUAGAUGUAUCGGACGUUACUCGCAGAAUAAGCACCGGCUAACUCUGUGCCAGCAGCCGCGGUAAUACAGAGGGUGCGAGCGUUAAUCGGAAUUACUGGGCGUAAAGCGCGCGUAGGCGGUUUGUUAAGUCGGAUGUGAAAUCCCCGGGCUCAACCUGGGAACUGCAUUCGAUACUGGCAAGCUAGAGUGUGGGAGAGGAAGGUAGAAUUCCAGGUGUAGCGGUGAAAUGCGUAGAGAUCUGGAGGAAUACCGAUGGCGAAGGCAGCCUUCUGGCCUAACACUGACGCUGAGGUGCGAAAGCAUGGGGAGCAAACAGGAUUAGAUACCCUGGUAGUCCAUGCCGUAAACGAUGUCAACUAGCCGUUGGGGACCUUGAGUCUUUAGUGGCGCAGCUAACGCGAUAAGUUGACCGCCUGGGGAGUACGGCCGCAAGGUUAAAACUCAAAUGAAUUGACGGGGGCCCGCACAAGCGGUGGAGCAUGUGGUUUAAUUCGAUGCAACGCGAAGAACCUUACCUGGCCUUGACAUGUCUGGAAUCUUGUAGAGAUACGAGAGUGCCUUCGGGAAUCAGAACACAGGUGCUGCAUGGCUGUCGUCAGCUCGUGUCGUGAGAUGUUGGGUUAAGUCCCGCAACGAGCGCAACCCUUUUCCUUAUUUGCCAGCACUUCGGGUGGGAACUCUAAGGAUACUGCCAGUGACAAACUGGAGGAAGGCGGGGACGACGUCAAGUCAUCAUGGCCCUUACGGCCAGGGCUACACACGUGCUACAAUGGUCGGUACAGAGGGUUGCUAAGCCGCGAGGCCACGCUAAUCUCAAAAAGCCGAUCGUAGUCCAGAUUGGAGUCUGCAACUCGACUCCAUGAAGUCGGAAUCGCUAGUAAUCGCGGAUCAGAAUGCCGCGGUGAAUACGUUCCCGGGCCUUGUACACACCGCCCGUCACACCAUGGGAGUCUAUUGCACCAGAAGUAG